GGGGAGAACCCACGAUAGAUUAAAAGUUAAACUCAGUGGAGCUUUCAUUGUGGAUUGUAUUCUGCUUUUGAGUUUGGUUGAAAGACUCCAGGGAGAAGCCCUGACUAGCCUGACAGAAGGGUGGAACGGAAGAGGACCCCGGGAGGAGCAGAAGAUGUGUCAAUGACCAGUGUCAAGUGGGACACUAUCCACGUGGGAUGUUUAUAUCCUGGGAAGGAAAAGACUGUACAGUGGCCUGGCCAGAGGGCUGAGUCACAAGAAGAGAGACCACUGCAGAGCCCAAGUGUCUGUCAGCAGGGGGCGCUGGACGAGGACAGAGCUGCUAGGCCAUGACAAGCCAGAAAGGGGUAUGCCUCCAGUGAGUCCACACUUCCACAGGUGUACACAAACACGCCACUGAAGGUCAGUGUUUUGCUCUACUGUGAGAACUGUGCUAUGCCACAAAUGCUGAAGCAGCAAAGUGCUUUGCUGGAGUAUCAGGCGCCUCACCACACCAUUUGACCGGAGAAGAGCCUAAAUCUAGGGAAGUAAUGCUGGGAGGAAAAAAAGCAACUUUAAAAAAUGCCCCAUUCCAAUCAGAAGAUAAAAAGAAGUGACAAUAGCUUCGCCUGGAGCCUGCUCACUCUCUAGCCAAAAGAUCUGUAAAUCUUCAGCCAAGCAACAGCCUCUUACACAAAAGCAUGUCGGUGAAAUGAAAGACUCUUGUACUAAUAGUGAACAUGACCAUAUAGUAUCGGCUGUGGCAGUACUAAGUCAGCUAAAGGCCCAAACCACCUGCUUGGCUGUGUGUGUUGCUGCCCUCCAUGCCUGCAGGCGGUGGAGGAUCAGCCAGGAUCUCCACGGCGGCUCUGAUACACAUUUUCAGAGUUAACUCAACAGCUUCACCAAAUACCCAGCAAUAUUUGCUUUUACCCAAAUCCCUUGAAGUCUGAGGGAAUGGAGACAGCAGCAGCCCAAGCUGAGCAGCCAAGAAAAGUAAAUUAUCCUUGGGUCAAGUGGAGUGGCCACAGGCAGCAAAGAUGCUGAUGAAUCAGCAGUUCCACAGACCUCUGCCCAUGCAGAGAAAAAUAAAUAGCUGGAACUUGGGAUUUAGAGCCAAACGCUCCUUGAAGCUGCAGGAAGUUAAAGAAAGCUGGAUCAUGCCAUCCCUCUGAAAGCAGCACCCGACCCCCAACCCUGGGGCUGGCCUCUUGUUGAGAAGGGGCUCAGGGUACAGGACACCACAGAGAAUCGGAAACUGCAGGAAAGAAGUUGGGAUUUAUUGUCCAA